GAACGCUGGCGGAAUGCUUUACACAUGCAAGUCGAACGGUAGAGGGGGCAACCCUUGAGAGUGGCGAACGGGUGAGUAAUAUAUCGGAACGUGCCCAGUCGUGGGGAUAACGUAGCGAAAGCUACGCUAAUACCGCAUACGAUCUAUGGAUGAAAGCGGGGGAUCGCAAGACCUCGCGCGAUUGGAGCGGCCGAUAUCAGAUUAGGUAGUUGGUGAGGUAAAGGCUCACCAAGCCGACGAUCUGUAGCUGGUCUGAGAGGACGACCAGCCACACUGGGACUGAGACACGGCCCAGACUCCUACGGGAGGCAGCAGUGGGGAAUUUUGGACAAUGGGCGCAAGCCUGAUCCAGCAAUGCCGCGUGCAGGAUGAAGGCCUUCGGGUUGUAAACUGCUUUUGUACGGAACGAAACGGUGAGCUCUAAUACAGUUUGCUAAUGACGGUGCCGUAAGAAUAAGCACCGGCUAACUACGUG
rnacentral:rRNA from 1 species